rnacentral:rRNA from 1 species
GAAUCCUCUAGGCCGAAUAUCCAAGGUUUCCAGGGUAAAGCUGAUCUGCCCUGGGUGAGUCGGGACCUAAGGUGAGGGCGGGAGCCGUAGCCGAUGGACAACAGGUUGAUAUUCCUGUACUGCAGUAUAACAGAACUGUGGGGACACGUAAGGAGAGCGGGAGCCGGGAAUGGAAAGCCCGGUACAAGCGAGGUACCAGUAUGGUAGGAAAAACCGCCAUGCAAUGGGAAGACGUGAUGUGGAGUGAAAUAUAGUAACGAAGCCCGUGAGCCAUGCGUCAAGAAAAGCCGCUAUUGUUUAUAUUGUACCCGUACCGUAAACCGACACAGGUGGAUGAGGAGAGAAUCCUAAGGCCGGCGGAAGAAGUAUUGCCAAGGAACUCGGCAAAAUGGCCCCGUAACUUAGGGAGAAGGGGUGCCUGCGAGAGCAGGCCGCAGAGAAUAGGCUCAAGCAACUGUUUAGCAAAAACACAGGUCUAUGCGAAACCGAAAGGUGAGGUAUAUGGGCUGACGCCUGCCCGGUGCUGGAAGGUUAAGAGGAGAGGUUAGACGCAAGUCGAAGCUUUGAAUUUAAGCCCCAGUAAACGGCGGCCGUAACGAUAACGGUCCUAAGGUAGCGAAAUUCCUUGUCGGGUAAGUUCCGACCCGCACGAAAGGCGUAAUGAUUUGAGCGCUGUCUCGGCAAUACAUCCGGUGAAAUUGAAGUGCCAGUGAAGAUGCUGGCUACCCGCGCCAGGACGGAAAGACCCCAUGGAGCUUUACUCCAGUUUGGCACUGGGGUCCGGUGUUGCAUGUACAGGAUAGGUGGGAGGCUGAGAGAUAGUGACGUCAGUUGCUAUGGAGCCGCUGUUGGGAUACCACCCUUGUGAUAUUGGGCUUCUAACCAGCCGCCGUAAUCCGGCGGUGGGACAAUGCCAGGCGGGGAGUUUGACUGGGGCGGUCGCCUCCGAAAGGGUAUCGGAGGCGCCCAAAGGUUCCCUCAGAAUGGACGGAAACCAUUCGAAGAGUGCAAAGGCAGAAGGGAGCUUGACUGCGACACCGACGGGUGGAGCAGGUACGAAAGUAGGGCUUAGUGAUCCGGUGGUAUUAAGUGGGAAUGCCAUCGCUCAACGGAUAAAAGCUACCCUGGGAUAACAGGCUUAUCACUCCCAAGAGUUUACAUCGACGGAGUGGUUUGGCACCUCGAUGUCGGCUCAUCGCAUCCUGGGGCUGUAGUAGGUCCCAAGGGUUGGGCUGUUCGCCCAUUAAAGCGGUACGCGAGCUGGGUUCAGAACGUCGUGAGACAGUUCGGUCCCUAUCCGGCGUGGGCGUAGGAUAUCUGAGAGGAGCUGUCCUUAGUACGAGAGGACCGGGAUGGACGGACCGCUGGUGGACCGGUUGGCUUGCCAAAGCCAUGGCCGGGUAGCCAAGUCCGGAAGGGAUAAACGCUGAAGGCACCUAAGCGUGAAGCCCCCCUCAAGAUGAGAUAUCCCAUUCUUUAAGAAGUAAACCCCCUUGAAGACGACGAGGUAGAUAGGGCAGAGGUGGAAGUGUGGUAACACAUGGAGCUGACUGUUACUAAUCGGGUGAGGGCUUGAUC